UACAGAGGGGGCAAGCGUUAUUCGGAAUUAUUGGGCGUAAAGGGCGCGUAGGCGGCGAUUCAAGUGACGGGUGAAAUCCCUCGGCUUAACCGAGGAACUGCCUGUCAGACUGGAUUGCUUGAGGCCGGGAGAGGCGAGUGGAAUUCCCAGUGUAGCGGUGAAAUUCGUAGAUAUUGGGAAGAACACCGGUGGCGAAGGCGGCGACCUGGUCCUUGACUGACGCUGAGGCGCGAAAGCGUGGGGAGCAAACAGG
rnacentral:rRNA from 1 species